rnacentral:rRNA from 1 species
UAAUACGGAGGGUACAAGCGUUAAUCGGAAUUACUGGGCGUAAAGCGCGCGUAGGCGGCUAAGUAAGUUGGAUGUGAAAGCCCCGGGCUCAACCUGGGAAUUGCAUUCAAAACUGCUUGGCUAGAGUGCGAGAGAGGAAAGUAGAAUUUCUGGUGUAGCGGUGAAAUGCGUAGAUAUCAGAAGGAAUACCAAUGGCGAAGGCAGCUCUCUGGCUCGUCACUGACGCUAAGGUGCGAAAGCGUGGGUAGCAAACAGGAUUAGAUACCCUGGUAGUCCACGCCGUAAACGAUGAGAACUAGCCGUUGGGGGGAAUUAACUCUUCAGUGGCGCAGCUAACGCAUUAAGUUCUCCGCCUGGGGACUACGGCCGCAAGGCUA